CAAAAUAAUAUAUUUCUCCAUUUUUGUUUUAAAAAACAUUUUUAAGCUUUGAUUUUUUUAUUCUUUCAUUGAAAAUUUAAGUUUUGAAAACACUCAAACUUACUUUUUUUUCAACUAAACACUCAAAGUUACUUCUAAUCUGAAAUAUGAAAAAAAAAGAUAUUCUCGAUUGAUAAUAGAAGGAAACUGAAUCUAAAUUAAGAGUAAUCAUAAACCAUGUAUGAAUUAUUAUUUUGCAUCAGUCAAAAACCUCAGUCCCAAAAACGAAAAAAAUAUGAAGUGAUGAAUAAAAAAUUAAUUUUGAUAUCAUCUCUUUUACCUUGGCUUGUUUUUCAUGCGUCAUUCUUUCUCUGUUUAUAUAUUUCUUCUUCUGUCUUAGUCUGUAGUUAUAAAUUUUUAUCAUUUUAAUUUUUAAAUAUGAAUGCCUGAUAAAAAGAUCAUGAAGAAGAAGAAGAGAGAGAGUAGAAGAGAAAGAGAUUAAAUAAAGAACAAAUUAAUAGAUGAUAAUUUAUGUAGAAAAUAAAAUAGUUUUAAAUCAUGAUCUUUAUUUUGAUCGUAGUGUUGAGGAUUUUUUUUAAACGUGGUGUCGAGAAAAAUUAGGAAUUUGGUUAUUAGGAAUUAGAAAAAUUGGAAUAAAAAUAUUUUUUGUUUUUUAUUUUUUAUUUUGUUUUAAACAUAUUCCAUGUGUCAAGAUUUGAUUGGUGAGAUGACUUGUGCUUUAGUAUGCUUAAGAGUUUUAAAGUUAAACAAGUGGAUCCACAAUGGUUUAAGGUUAACCAGUUAACCAUAUCAUGUAGCUGCAUGCGAAAUUACGAUAUCUAAAAUAUUUGAAAAAUAAUUUGUGAUAUAUUGCGUUUUGUUUUUCUUUUACUUUAGACCUUGUAAGUGUCGAAAUUGCAAACCAUUGACCAGUUACAUGCAUGGAACAAUCUAUCUAUCUAUUUUCUCAAAAAAAAAAAACAAUCUAUCUAUCUAUCCAUUACUAUAAAAGAGGGUUUUCUUCUCUCACAUGCGUCCACGCCAGCACCCAAGUAGAUAAGUCGAGCGUUGUGGAAGCGAUGCGUGUCCCUUCACGGGCGCAAUGGGGUUUGUUCACGUUAUGGGCACGAACAAAGGUCGAUCUCUGCAGCCUUCAACGGUGAUGUCGUUUCCGCUUACUCUUUACCUUCUGAAACGGUUUGAGUAAAGAGUUGAGUUUGUGUUUAGUUUCAUUGAUUCGCCAAUCCACUACGUCGUCUUUAAUGCGCUUCUGUUUCAAUCUGAAAAUCGGUGAUUUCAGUAUAAUUAUGUGGUUAUUGAUUCGGGAGAUUAUUAUUUUUUGAUUCGGGAGAUUAUCAUUUUUUGGAGAUUCGGGAGAUUGUUAUCUUGUGGUUUGUUGAUUCUGUUUCAUUUUGUUCAUGUUUUGAUUAUCAUUUUUUUCUCCCAAAAGCCUCUGUUUGUUUUUUUUUUAUCAGUAGCUUUCGUUUAGCUUACUUUCACUCCUUUAUCUCCUACCUUUGUUCACCGUGUAAUAAGGUACGUACUGUCAGGCGGUGGCGACGGGAACCAUGGUGUUAGAACGACCAGACGGAAAGUCGGAGAGAUUUUUCAGUACAGUAAGCGCCAGUGAGGUGGUUAAGUCUCAUCCCAGCCACCAGCUCUCCUCAUCUCCUCCUCCGUACCUCACGGCCGCUCUCUCCGCAUCAUCCGAAUCAAACAACUCCGUCCUUCCGAUAAUUUCUGCUCGGACAUGUAUAUACACUCAUCUCUUCCAAAGUAUUAUCACUUACUCUCUCUCUCCUGCAACUUCACUGUUUCACAUGGCAUUUUGUUCUGUCAUAUGAAUAAGAUUGUUCCAAAUCCUCAUGGUUUGGCUCCCGACAACUCUGAACCAUUACUUCAAUGGAGCCACCGUUAGCUAUUGUGGCAGAGAAACGUAUCAUUGCAGUGCCGGCCACGUUCUAAGGAGAAGAUGACAGUCCAAAUAUCUGUCACGAGAUUGAGUUGGCGGAACAGAAGACAAAUCGCUAAAGCUCUAAGUAGUAUGCCUAAUGUAUAUUCAUCCCUCUUUGGUAUGAGAUUCUGCAGCUUAGUACAAAAGACUGGUAGGAACGUGAAGCAACUUCAGGUGGUCUCAUCAACAAAAAAAAUAUGGCCCAGCAUCUACCAAGUUGGCCAAGAAGCCCGCAUCGCCAAGAUGGAGUAUGCAAUAUCUACAUCAGUAGCUUUUAUGCUUCCGCAUCGUUGUUGUCCUUUUUUCAAUAUAUGCAGGCAGCCCACAAUGAUUUAAAAAACAUUAGUAGCUUUUUAAACUAUUUACCUACGUUUUUCUAGACAAUCUUAUGAAUUAUGUUUAAAUUUUAACGUAAGGUUAUUUUCCUCCCAAGUCA